rnacentral:rRNA from 1 species
AUACGUAGGGAGCGAGCGUUGUCCGGAAUUACUGGGCGUAAAGGGCGCGUAGGCGGCGCUUCAAGUCGUCUGUCAAAUGGGAGGGCUUAACCCUUUUUCGCAGACGAAACUGGGGAGCUUGAGAAGCAGAGAGGCAAACAGAAUUCCUGGUGUAGCGGUGAAAUGCGUUGAUAUCAGGAAGAAUACCAGUGGCGAAGGCGGUUUACUGGCUGAAUACUGACGCUGAAGCGCGAAAGCCAGGGGAGCAAACGGGAUUAGAUACCCCGGUAGUCCUGGCAGUAAACGAUUUAUGCUGGGUGUGAGACUAGCGAUAUUUUCGUGCCGAAGUUAACGCGAUAAGCAUACCGCCUGGGGAGUACGGUCGCAAGAUUGAAACUCAAAGGAAUUGACGGGG